rnacentral:lncRNA from 1 species
AUUUGGGCAGACCAUACUUUUCUUAUAAAAUUUUAUUUUUUCUUAUUAUAAAUUCUAUAAAACCAUGCUUUUCUUUUUUGAUUUUUAGUAGAAUUAAAAUCUACACUAAGUAGUUCCCUAUCUAUCUAAAAAUCAGCUAUUCUAAUGUAUUUAUCAUCUAAAUAUGAACCAAAUAUAUCUCUAAUUACUACUUUAGCUACUCAUUUGAC